UCUUGGUUUCAAAAAUAGUGCAAAAUUCACACUGAAAGUAACUUCUACUGUGACAAUUCGUACUGAUCAUAAAACUUUAUAAAAAAACAUAAAAUUAUAUGCAUAUUGUAUAGUGUGCAAAGAUAAAUACAAAACUUCAAUUCGUUUUAAAAUCGGAUACUGCAUUGCGGAGUUAUCGGGGUUUAAAUAUUGAUUUUUCCGGAAAUGUUGAUUCCUCGUUAUUGGUUUAAAAAAUAGUGCAAAAUUCACACUAAAAGUAACUCCUGCUGAAAAGAUUUCGUACAGGUCAUAAAACCGAACUCCUUUUUUAUAUAGUUAAUCAGAGUGUUUAUUGAAACAAUUUCGUUAAUUCGGUCGAUAAUUACGUUGUUAGUUUUUAUUAGUCUGAUUAGUUUUAAUCGAAAUAAUUAUCGUACGAUUCACCAUGUCAACUCGCCAUGUUUUGACUGCGAACAACAGCUGAUAGCGGUGUGUCAGAAGAAUGGCCUGCAAGACGGCGAUAGUGGAAAUUUCAGCUCAACUAACGUAUGACAGAUUAUAAAGCUAUUGGUGGCCACAUGGUUUUUACCUGUUGAUUCUUUUCAGCUCUUGAGGUUAACCUGUCAUCUCUACCCACAUGCAUAUUCCUUAAUGUGUUCUACAGACUAUUUACCAGUAAAAAUUAAAUCGGAUAAUUCAUGAACAGUUACUGUAAUGGAACUUUAAGAAAGCAUCAUGCCUUGUUGUGGUUUGUGUUUGAUAAGAAAUUAUAACAAACAAAAUUAUGGCUGUUUAAAGUAAUUUACAAUUGUUAGCUGUGAAAAUUUGUUUUUCAAUAAAAGUAUGCAAUUA